AAAGGAAUAGACGGGGACCCGCACAAGCAGCGGAGCAUGUGGUUUAAUUCGAAGCAACGCGAAGAACCUUACCAGGUUUUGACAUAGGAAUGACAGAUUUAGAGAUAGAUUUUUCCUUCGGGACAUUCCAUACAGGUGGUGCAUGGUUGUCGUCAGCUCGUGUCGUGAGAUGUUGGGUUAAGUCCCGCAACGAGCGCAACCCCUGUUUUUAGUUGCCAGCAAGUCAAGUUGGGCACUCUAAAGAGACUGCCGUAGACAAUACGGAGGAAGGCGGGGAUGACGUCAAAUCAUCAUGCCCCUUAUAACCUGGGCUACACACGUGCUACAAUGGUCUGGAACAGAGAGAAGCAAGGCUGCAAAGCGGAGCGAAACUAUAAAACAGAUCUCAGUUCGGAUUGCAGGCUGAAACCCGCCUGCAUGAAGCUGGAGUUGCUAGUAAUCGCGGAUCAGAAUGCCGCGGUGAAUGCGUUCCCGGGUCUUGUACACACCGCCCGU
rnacentral:rRNA from 1 species